rnacentral:rRNA from 1 species
GACGAACGCUGGCGGUGUGCCUAAUACAUGCAAGUAGAACGCACAGUUUAUACCGUAGCUUGCUACACCAUAAACUGUGAGUUGCGAACGGGUGAGUAACGCGUAGGUAACCUGCCUGGUAGCGGGGGAUAACUAUUGGAAACGAUAGCUAAUACCGCAUAAUAUUGAUUAUUGCAUGAUAAUUGAUUGAAAGAUGCUAUUGCAUCACUACCAGAUGGACCUGCGUUGUAUUAGCUAGUAGGUGAGGUAACGGCUCACCUAGGCGACGAUACAUAGCCGACCUGAGAGGGUGAUCGGCCACACUGGGACUGAGACACGGCCCAGACUCCUACGGGAGGCAGCAGUAGGGAAUCUUCGGCAAUGGACGAAAGUCUGACCGAGCAACGCCGCGUGAGUGAAGAAGGUUUUCGGAUCGUAAAGCUCUGUUGUAAGAGAAGAACGGGUGUGAGAGUGGAAAGUUCACACUGUGACGGUAUCUUACCAGAAAGGGACGGCUAACUACGUG